rnacentral:lncRNA from 1 species
GAUUUAAUGAGUAUGGGGGAGGUAAAUGGUAGAAAUAGCAAUGUGAACUACAUUUCCCAUGACCCCCUUCAGUCAACAUGUUUGAAUACUCACAUCAGAGCAGCAUUUUCUUGUUCAAUGUGUUGUUGCUUCUCCUCCAUGGAUUUGACACAAGCUUCAAAAACAUCAACAAACAACUUUAAGAAGUUACCUGAGCAGUUUCCCAACCACCAUUAUGCUACAGGUUCAUUGUUCGAUGUCGAAGCUUGCUUGUCUCAAUAGUUUCAAUUUCAAGUUUCUCGCGUGCUAUUUUUCUAGAUAAUUCCUAAAUACGAAUGCCACAGUGAAAUGAAC